AGCAGCCGCGGUAAUUCCAGCUCCAAUAGCGUAUAUUAAAGUUGUUGCAGUUAAAAAGCUCGUAGUUGAAUUUCGGGAUCGAUACGUCGGUCGUGCCUUCGGUACGCACUGGCGUUUAUCGAUUUCUCCCUUCUGACGAACCAUGAUGUCAUUAAUUUGGUGUUAUGGGGAAUCAGGACUGUUACUUUGAAAAAUUAGAGUGUUUAAAGCAGGCAUUAGCUUGAAUACAUUAGCAUGGAAUAAUGAAAUAGGACGUUCGAACCUAUUUUGUUGGUUUCUAGGAUCAACGUAAUGAUUAAUAGGGAUAGUUGGGGGCAUUAGUAUUCAAUUGUCAGAGGUGAAAUUCUUGGAUUUAUUGAAGACUAACUACUGCGAAAGCAUUUGCCAAGGAUGUUUUCAUUAAUCAAGAACGAAAGUUAGGGGAUCGAAGACGAUCAGAUACCGUCGUAGUCUUAACCAUAAACUAUGCCGACUAGGGAUCGGAUGAUGUUAAUUUUUAAUGUACUCA
rnacentral:rRNA from 1 species